GGCAAUGUCCUGAGUGUGGAACAGGAAUGCAGGGAACAAAGUGAACCCUCCUGUAAUGCUGAUCCCUCCCUUCAGCUGCAGUGGAGACCCCUCUGUGUGCACUGUGGGAGCUGAUGGCCAGGACAGGCGCUGGGCUGGGAUGAUUGCAGGCUGUUGUCAGCAAGGAAUGCCUGGCUUGUAAAACUGCCCAGCUGAGUCUGAGAGGCUUCUUUGCCGAGCUGCUUUCAGGCAGCCAAAUGGGCCCCAGCAGGGACUCUGUGCCUGCUGUCCCGUGGUUCCCAGGGAUCUCUGGGCCUUCACGCCGGCACCGAGGUGUUCUCGGGAAGGCCCUCAGAUCCCCGGAGCAGUGUGGGACACGGGCACGAUCCCCCUGCCUUUUGGGAGCAGAUUGGGCCCCCUGGAGGGACAGUGCUGUUGGUGCCCCCCGGGCUGGGGCACCCCGAGGACUCAAGCGCGCACCCAAAGGAUUCUUCGGGGAGCUCCUCUGGGUGCCCCAAGCUGGGGAGCUCCAAGCAAGGUCCCUGCAAUGGAUUGAGGCAUUCCUGAGAGUAUCAGAGGUGUAGCUGUCUGUCCUGGCCAUGCAGCUCUGGAAUGGGCUGUAAUUGGGUUCUAAAAGUGGUGCUCUGACUGCCAAAGAAGUGUGGGAUUGGGAUUAACGGAUGAGUGGUGAUGGUACCUUGGGUGUUUUGUCUUGAGUGGAAUUGUGAGAGCUGCAGGAGUGCAAGGUGUGGGUUCCAGUCCCCAGCAUUUGGUUGGCACACGUGCUGGUCAGACACAGGUCCAGCUUCCUCAGCCCUUAAGACAACGGAAAGAGAGUUAAGGAUGGCACUGUGAAAGUGAUUGGUGUGACAGGGGUUUAACUGGGAAAACCUUGGGGAGUUCCCUAGUUUGUCUCUUUGCCAAAAUUACCCAAACCACUACCAGGAAGAGAUUGGUUGGAAAAGUUGAGGCAGGUAUUAAAUUGGAAAAUGGGGAGAUGAUUGAAAUUGUAAUUGCUGAAACUAACUGUGUGAGAGCAGCAGCUCUUCUCGUGCAGGAAAUAACUCCUGUCAGCAGCACCGUCCCGACUGGAGUGGCAGAUGGAGUUGUUCCUGUGGUGUGGGCCAGUGGAAAACAGUUGUGACCUGUGAAGGGCCAGGUUGGACACUUGUCAAACAGGAGCAGAAGUGACUCUCCAGGUAGCCCAAUAUAAAUAUGGGAAGCCAAGGGGUCAAGUAAACCAGUGCAUGCUGGGAGGGCAGAGGCAGGGAUAGGUUGGGAUGGCAAGAACUGGGGUGGAGAUGCUUGGGAUUGAGCUGCUUUAGAGCCUGGUUCAGAGGGGAAGUGUUUGCUGAAGCACAGCCAAUAACAGGAGGGAAAGGGGAAGGUGACCCCAGUGGUUCUCCCGUCAGGCCUGAUGUGCUGGAGGAUUUUACUCAGCCUGAACUUGCUGGUGCUGUGGAGAGGUUUAAAGCAAAGGCCAGAGAGUCUGUGAUCUCCUGGGCAGUUGGGCUGCAUGAGCUGGGAGCCUCUGGGCUCAGAUUGGACUGGGCAGGCACGGAGCAGUUUGUCCCGUGGAGCUGGGCUGGGUUUGUUCAGGAUGCCUUGGGAGGCAGGGCUGGAGAGGCUCCUUUGUUGGCUGCAGUGGUGGGAGGUUGUCCCAGGAGGGCUGGAGCCCUUGGACCUCCUGCUCCCCCCGUGAGCCCCGACGGGACCGUGCACUUGGCAAUGGAGGGCCCCCCAUUGCUGAGUCAGCGGUUCCGGGGGCCGGCAGGGAUGGGAUCAGGAUGCCGAGCUCUGGCCAGGGCAGGGCUGUAAAUGGUGCAGCCACUGCAAGAACCCAAGGCAGAGGGAGAUGAAGGCCGAGCUCCAGCACAAGGGUGGGCGAGAAAAGCCCGUGGCCCUCAGGUGGAGCUUUGAAUUCCUUGGGAAAAUGGAUCUUGUCCAAGGGCUCAGGCCCUUGUGGGUGCUGGAGCGGAGGUCUCUUCAACUGAUGGUGACCCUAAAAAGGUGCAAGGACAGCAAGUUUUGAUGACAGGAUGAGGUGGCAAACAAGGUGAAGUGGUCCAGAGAAAAGCUGAGCUUCAGAUUGGUCCUGUGCCACAAGCAGCCUUGUGGAGUGCUUGUUGCUGUGCCUGACUGUGGAAUGGCAGUGGAUAUUUCCAAGGGCUGCCUUGUGCCGAGGAACACUGGGCUCAGUUCCCUGUCCCUGGGCAGGGCAGGCAGGGCAUGUUUACCUGCCCCCCUCCAGGGUGGCUCCAUAAGACUUGACUUGAUCCCCAAGCGUGAGGGGGCCGUGGGGGAGGGAUUUCUGCUGAGCCACAGUUCUGUCUCUGGGGGCAGUCAGGAUUUGAUGCCUUGCUCCGUUUCUUUUGUGUGCCAUAAAUCUGUAUCCCGUGUUGUUGGUUUGUGCUUGUUUCAACUGUUCCUGUUAUCCUGUGCCUGGGGAGGAGUUGUUUCCUGGAGUGCCCUGCCUGUUGGCAAAACACCAGGUGUGUGCAGCAGCUGGAGCCUGGGCAGGUUUGGGGGCUGUGGUGAUGGUACAAUUGGGUGUUUUCUCUUGAGUGGAAUUGUGAGGAGUGCAAGGUGUGGGUUCCAGUCCCCAGCAUUUGGUUUGCACAUGUGCUGGUCAGACACAGGUCCAGCUUCCUCCACCCCUCACACAACCGAGGGAGAAUUCAGCAAUGGCUCUGUGAGGGUUUGUGGCGUGACAGGGGUUAAAGUGGGAAAACCUGGGGUCAUUCCUCAGUUUGUCUAUUUGCAAGCUCUCCUAAGCUUUAACUAGGAAGAGAUUGAUUGGAGAAGUUGUAGGCAGGUAUUAAAUAGAACAAUGGGGAGAAGAUUGAAAUUGUAAUUGCUGAAACUAACUGUGUGAGAGCAGCAGCUCUUCUCGUGCAGGAAAUAACUCCUGUCAGCAGCACCGUCCCGACUGAAGUGGCAGAUGGAGUUGUUCCUGUGGUGUGGGCCAGUGGAAUUCCAGGAAAAUGGACCAGGGCAGACCCUGAACAAGGCAAGCCAAGAAACCUUUGCUUUUUUCAAGGAGAAAACGCAGUAAUGGAGAAGGAAGAAAUGAAGGCACUUGAGUCCUCCCUGAGCCACAGGCAGUCCAUGAAGUGCCUUCCUGGGAAUGGGAGGAUGGUGAGGACUCUGCAUUGCUCCCUCUGGAUGUGUGGUAAGACUGAUGCAAACUUUGGAAACCACCUGUAAGAGUUUGCUGCCUUGGAUAGAUGGUGCAAGGGCAGCCUUUAGGCAGCUCAGGCAUUCCCUGAGGAGAGCUCUGGCUCUGCCACAUCUCUCUGAACUGUUUGGGAGGGAAAACAAAGGACAAGGUGUGCAGUGAGCAGCCCUGACAAGGGACUUGGAGUGACUGGCAUCCCUCCCAGUUAACUUUCUGGGCUGUUCCCCCUGUAGAGCAGGUGAUUGUCCCAGCUCCAGCUGUGGGGAAAAAAGAGAGCCCUAAAACCUGGCAAUCCUCCUGGAGGCUCCUGGCAAACAGGGUUUGCUGAGUUAGCCCUGGAAGGAGGACAGUGAUACCUUUUCAGUGCUAGUAGAUGCUUUGAAUAGGUGACCAUAAGUCUGUCCCUGUUGCACCAGGAGGCCUUAUCAAGCUCCCCAUCUUGCAGGGAAUAUUGACAUUAAAGGCAAAAAUGGUCUUUAUAAUUGUUUGCUGGCUUUAGGAUGUGCCCUGCAGGAACUCCAGGAAUUGACGGUGAUGCCUCGGCCGAUGGAUUGGACGGCCCAGCCCCUGCAUUCCUGCCCAGCCCUUGGGUCCCUGUCAAGUGGUGGGACUGCCAGCCCCUGCAGGGAGCUGUGGCAUGGAAACUGCAGAGAGUCGAGCCAGGGGAUUGCAAGGGACUCAGCCAGGGAGGUGAAGAAAGAAGGAAGAAGGGAAGUGAGGCAGCAGCCAAGCAGCACCAAGUUCCUCUGUCAGCAGGUGAGUUGUAUUGAGGUUCCUAAGGCAGGCCCUUGGGACUCUGGGGACUCCAGACAGAGAAGACCGUGGAAGCCCCUUGGAGAAGCCCCUCAGAAACUUUACAAGGUAGGUGUGGAUGGUAAUAAGUGUUGGGCAAUGUCCUGAGUGUGGAACAGGAAUGCAGGGAACAAAGUGAAGCCUCCUGUAAUGCUGAUCCCUCCCCUCAGCUGCAGUGGAGACCCCUCUGUGUGCACUGUGGGAGCUGAUGGCCAGGACAGGCGCUGGGCUGGGAUGAUUGCAGGGUGUUGUCAGCAAGGAAUGCCUGGCUUGUAAAACUGCCCAGCUGAGUCUGAGAGGCUUCUUUGCCGAGCUGCUUUCAGGCAGCCAAAUGGGCCCCAGCAGGGACUCUGUGCCUGCUGUCCCGUGGUUCCCAGGGAUCUCUGGGCCUUCACGCCGGCACCGAGGUGUUCUCGGGAAGGCCCUCAGAUCCCCGGAGCGCUCUGGGACACGGGCACGAUGCCCCUGCCUUUUGGGAGCAGAUUGGGCCCCCUGGAGGGACAGUGCUGUUGGUGCCCCCCGGGCUGGGGCACUCCGAGGACUCGAGCGCGCACCCAAAGGAUUCUUCGGGGAGCUCCUCUGGGUGCCCCAAGCUGGGGAGCUCCAAGCAGGAUCCCUGCAAUGGAUUGAGGCAUUCCUGAGAGUAUCAGAGGUGUAGCUGUCCGUCCUGGCCAUGGAGCUCUGGAAUGGGCUGUAAUUGGGUUCUAAAAGUGGUGCUCGGACUGCCAAAGAAGUGUGGGAUUGGGAUUAAGGAAUGAGUGGUGAUGGUACCGUUGGGUGUUUUGUCUUUAGUGGAAUUGUGAGAGCUGCAGGAGUGCAAGGUGUGGGUUCCAGUCCCCAGCAUUUGGUUUGCACAUGUGCUGGUCAGACACAGCUACAGGUUCCUCAGCCCUUAACACAAGAGAGGGAGAAUUAAGGACUGUCUUAAUUAACCAAUUAAUUAACCAAUUACUGUUAAAAUGAUGGGUGGGACAGGGCUUUACUUGGGAAAACAGUGAGUAACUCCUCAGUUGGUUAAUUUGCAAACUCCCCUAAGCCUUUUCUAGGAAGAGAUUUGCUAGUAAAGUUGAGGCAGGUAUUAAAUUGGAAAAUGGGGCGAUGAUUGAAAGUGUAAUUGCUGAAACUAACUGUGUGAGAGCAGCAGCUCUUCUCGUGCAGGAAAUAACUCCUGUCAGCAGCACCGUCCCGACUGAAGUGGCAGAUGGAGUUGUUCCUGUGGUGUGGGCCAGGGGAAUUCCAGAAGAAUGGACAAGGGCAGACCCUGUAGGUAUUAGCCCUAAGGUGGGGAUCUGUAUGGUAAGGCAACCCCAGUAUCCUUUAAAAUCAGCAUGCAAGGAUUAGAUUUCAAGAUGCCCUUUGCUGCAUCUCCUGGAGCAAGGCAAGCCAAGAACCCUUUG